GUUUCAUUAUGCGUAAUGUGAACGAGUUUCUAGUUUGACCAUUGGUCAAAAAGGACCGAUGCAAUUGAUGACAUGUUUCACAACUAGUAUGCUCUUAUUGCAUGGCUCGCCUCAACUUCGCAAACGUUUCCUUGAGUCUCAAACAUGUAGUCUCUAAUACAGCAAUCUACAUUCUUUUGGAGGACCCCAACAACAAACUGAAACAACAACACAACUUCUCCACUGACUGUUGACUUUAGCCAGAUUGGCGGAUGCAUCCGAGAAACCAUUCUACCUAAAAAGGAGAAAAAGGUUCCCAUAUAUAAAGGCAUAUCCAACAACAAAAACUCACUGUGUCGACAAAAUGAGAAGUGAAGAUGGAGGCUACGGUUACCUUGGAAAGUCAUUCAAGGGGCUUUACCUUGGGUGAAAACUUGGAGAAAAGAUGCCUUAGAGACCUCUCACUGUGUGGUUUAAAAGAAACAGCAAUCACCUUUUCCUGAAAUACAAGUUUGCCAAGGAGGUCUGGAAUUUGGUGCCUUUGACUAAUCUGUGCUUAAUCACACAGUCUUCAGACUUUGUGUCGGGUUUUCAGGGGAUAAAAUCCAUCUCUUGCCUACAUCCAACUGGGUAUCGAAUGGGAUCUAUCUUCCCUUGGGUUUGUUGGACGAUUUGGAUGGCAAGAAAUUCAAAAAGAAAAUUAAUACAGGGAGUAUUGACCAACUGAGACAAUCACUAAAGCCCUCCAUGAUGCCAGAGAAUGGCAGGAAGCUCAAACCGAAGAGUUUCAACAGAUCAACCACAAGCCGAUAGAGCAUGUAAGGACCAAUCCAUCUCGACCAAAUUUCAGUUUACACGAAUGCGGCAUGGAGUGAAGCGACCAACACAGCUGCAGGCCUGGCCUGCAUUUUCACCGACUGGCCAGGAAGGACUUUAUACAAAAUCAGCGCAAAGGAAGAUUUUAUAGCGGAGGGCUUGGCGUUAAGAACAGCUCUCUUGCAAGCUUCAGAACUCGGCAUGUCGAAACUCUCUUUGAAGUCAGACGUUCAAAAUCUCAUCAGAGCUAUCAAGGAGCUUUUUGGAAUUCUUCAUGACUUCAUGAUAUCCAUGAGCUUAAUUGUUCCUUUUCCUCAGUUUUUUUCUACGUUAUCCCUCGAAAAGACAAUAUCACUGCAGACUGUUUAGCCAAGGAGGCACUGAAUAACUCUUCUGACAUCUUGUAAACCUUUUAAUCUAUGAAUGCAUUUGCUGAUAAAAAAAAGGUUCCCUCACAAUGUUUUUUAAAAAUAUUUUACUGGGAACAAAAAUCUUUAAAUUAGUAGUUGAAAUAUGAAUAAAAAUAAUUUAUUCAAGAAAGUAUUUAUAGGAAAAGUUCUGGAAAAUACUAAGGGUGGGCAUUCGGGUUUAGUUCGAGUUUAUUUAGGUUUCAGGUUUUCACAGUUUAAGAUUUAUGUCCAUUUUGAAUAAUUAUAAAUUUCGGUUCGGUUUGGAUCAUUGCAGGUUUGGUUCGGGUUUGGUUUAAAAAAUAAAAAUAAAUUUAUAUAUGGUUUAAAUUUCUAAAUAUUUAAAAAUAAAAUAAUGUAUUACAUAUAAAUUUGAAUAAUGUAUGCCAAAAUAUCUAAACUUAACAUAUAAAUUGGUUUGGCUUGAAUAUGUUUGGAUAAAGAAUCAAUAUAUAUUUUAAGUAUUUUUGGUAUUGUGAGUAUUGUUUAGUUAAUUUAGAAAUUUACAUUCGAUUAUUUUAAAACUUUAAGUAUUGUGGACAACUUUAAAAUAUCUUAUACAUUUUUGGAGAUUUUUUUAAUAUAUUAAAUUAAAAAUAAAUAAUAUAUUUAAGUAUAUAUCCCUUAUAUAUUAAAGCACAAGUCAUUUGAUCAAUCAAAAUUUGACACUGUAAUUUCUUUACAAAGCCUUUAAAAAAAGUAAAAUGUUUUCAAAAAUUAAAAUUUAACAUAUUACAAAAAAAAUCAAAACUGUCUCACGUUCGUUUAGUUUUAUGUAACUGCAAAAGAAUGAAAUCAAAUGUCAUAAAGCAAUUUAUAAUCACACUUUCAUAUUGUAAUUAUAGCAAUUUUAUCAUUUGUGUAUUGAAUUUUUUUUUUCAUUGAACAACCAAUGCAAUAGUUAAUAAUUUCUUCUAUUAUACAUUUUGUAAUGAUAAUACAGUUAUGUGAGUUACAAAUAUAUUUAUGUAUAAAAGAUUGACAAAUAAAAACUCAUACUAAUAAAAUGGAUUUUUUUGAGGCUCCAUGGGAUAUCCACAUAAGCGAAAAAACUUCUCUCGAAAAAUACCACGUGGUAUUAUUACUAAAGAAUAAGUAAUAAAUAAUAAGUAAAAUAUAUAAUAUAAGGAAAAAUAAUAAUAAGUAAAUAUAUAAUACAAAAAAUAGAAAUAUUACAUUAAAAAUCUAUCAUAAUAUUAUCAUUUGAUAAAAGAAAUAAAAUUAGAAUAAGUAAAUAUAUAAUAUAAGAAAAAUAAGCAAAAAAUAAAUAUAAAAUUAAAAAACGAAAAAAACUAAA